GUCUACGGCCAUACCACCCUGAACGCGCCCUAUCUCGUCUGAUCUCGGAAGCUAAGCAGGGUCGGGCCUGGUUAGUACUUGGAUGGGAGACAUAGCCCCUUGGGGGUGGCAGUUU
ensembl:rRNA 5S_rRNA 5S ribosomal RNA